GACAGAGUAGCUUACACUAUACAAAGCAUAACACUGAAAAUGUUAAGACAGUUAUUUUAACUCUCUUUCG
rnacentral:tRNA from 1 species